rnacentral:tRNA from 1 species
GGAGAGGUGCGAGAGUGGUCGAAUCGGCACGACUGGAAAUCGUGUGUACCCUUGUGGUACCGUGGGUUCGAAUCCCACCCUCUCCG